rnacentral:rRNA from 1 species
AGAGUUUGAUCCUGGCUCAGAUUGAACGCUGGCGGCAGGCCUAACACAUGCAAGUCGAGCGGUAACAGAAAUUAGCUUGCUAAUUUGCUGACGAGCGGCGGACGGGUGAGUAAUGCCUGGGAAUAUGCCUUAGUGUGGGGGAUAACUAUUGGAAACGAUAGCUAAUACCGCAUAACGUCUUCGGACCAAAGAGGGGGAUCUUCGGACCUCUCGCGCUAAGAUUAGCCCAGGUGAGAUUAGCUAGUUGGUGAGGUAAGAGCUCACCAAGGCGACGAUCUCUAGCUGGUCUGAGAGGAUGAUCAGCCACACUGGAACUGAGACACGGUCCAGACUCCUACGGGAGGCAGCAGUGGGGAAUAUUGCACAAUGGGCGAAAGCCUGAUGCAGCCAUGCCGCGUGUAUGAAGAAGGCCUUCGGGUUGUAAAGUACUUUCAGUAGGGAGGAAGGUGUUGUCGUUAAUAUCGGCGGCACUUGACGUUACCUACAGAAGAAGCACCGGCUAACUCCGUGCCAGCAGCCGCGGUAAUAAU